rnacentral:lncRNA from 1 species
CCAAGACAUGGCCAAACAUACAGCCAAUGGGAGAGUGGUCAUCAGAUCAUAAAGACACAUUCCUAGAGUUUGGCUUUUAUAGUGAAAAUGGUGAAAGAAAUUCAGCUGGGGAGCAACAUGAGCAGAUUUACAUUUUGCAAAAUUAGCUUCCACAAGAGUAUGGAAAAAGGAUCAUCGAAAGACAUAAAACUGAGAAAAUCUCUGGCACAAAGCAUCCUCUUAUUAAAGAUGCUCCAUUAGAACCACA